rnacentral:lncRNA from 1 species
CUGUUGUAUGCUCAUACUCUGCUAUUUUCUAUCUUCCAGAAUAUAAUUUGUGCUUUCCUCAACCCUAUACAGCUUCACAAAGGAAUCCACAUAUGGUCUGAAAACCGCCUCCCUACGUCAACUGGCCAGUUGGAGCCCCGGAGUCUUGUGCCUCCAAAGAAGUUGGCAGGUGAGGAUCCCAAGGCUGUAAAUAAAUAGUAAGCAACCUGCCCAAGUUCACAUAGCCAGGAAGUCUCAACAUGGAGACUGGAAUUUCUGACUUUAAGGGCCCCAGGUAGCAAGUAAGUAUCCCAAGAUCCCAUAACCAAAAGAUCCUGAUCCUGGGACCAAGGUGGGGAGAAUGGAGAAUAGGACCGCUAUUAGUUUGACAAAGCACUGUGCUAGGCUUUUUAACAAUCUUGUGAAAGCAGGAUUAUGAUCUACCUUUAAAAAAGUAGUUCAGCUUUGGGGCAGGGCUGGAUCUACUUGGGUGGUAGUGAAGUGGCCUCUGCCUCAGGGGCAGAGACAUAAUAAGCAGGUCAUCCCAAGUCUACUGAAGUAGUUUAUUAACUG